AUUGAACGCUGGCGGCGUGCCUAACACAUGCAAGUCGAGCGGUAACAGGUGUAGCAAUACAUGCUGACGAGCGGCGAACGGGUGAGUAAUGCUUUGGAAUCUUCCCAGUAGUGGGGAAUAACCAGUCGAAAGAUUGGCUAAUACCGCAUACGUCUGUAAAGGGAAAGCGGGGGACUCGCCUCUUCUUCGGAAGAGAGGCCUCGCGCUAUUGGAUGAGCCAAAGCGGAUUAGCUAGUUGGUGGGGUAAUGGCCUACCAAGGCGACAAUCCGUAGCUGGUCUGAGAGGACGACCAGCCACACCGGAACUGAGACACGGUCCGGACUCCUACGGGAGGCAGCAGUGGGAAUAUUGGACAAUGGGGGAAACCCUGAUCCAGCGACGCCGCGUGUGUGAAGAAGGCCUGCGGGUUGUAAAGCACUUUUAGUGGGGAACAAAAGCUACGGAUUAAUACUCUGUGGUCUUGAUUUAACCUACAGAAAAAGCACCGGCUAACUCUGUGCCAGCCGCC
rnacentral:rRNA from 1 species